rnacentral:rRNA from 1 species
UACGUAGGGAGCAAGCGUUGUCCGGAAUCAUUGGGCGUAAAGCGCGUGUAGGCGGUCCGGUAAGUCCGCUGUGAAAGUCGGGGGCUCAACCCUCGAAUGCCGGUGGAUACUGUCGGGCUAGAGUGCGGAAGAGGCGAGUGGAAUUCCUGGUGUAGCGGUGAAAUGCGCAGAUAUCAGGAGGAACACCAAUUGCGAAGGCAGCUCGCUGGGACGUUACUGACGCUGAGACGCGAAAGCGUGGGGAGCAAACAGG